GCUUAAAUAUAGUUUUUUGUAACAAAAAACAUUUUGAAUAAGAAGAAUUUCAUAACAACAAUGGUCCAGUAUUGUGUUGGAAACGGAUGCCAUAAUGCAGGGGACAUAAAUAUAAUAUAAUAUUUUUUCUGUGAAGUGUUGGUAUCACAUAAACCAAUCCAUCCUGAACAGUCUAACAGAAGUGAGAAUCCACAAAAGGAGAGAAGCAAUAAAUAAUUAGGAAUUAUGCCUUAUGUUUUUCAUUUUUUUAGGUUCCCUCUCCGAAAACCAUUUACUUUACAACUUUGGACCAAAGCUACAGGAAGGAAAAAUUGGUAUCCGUAGAAAUACAUUUGCAGAAAAAAAUUUGCAGUCCCCCACAGGAAAUAUUUCUUGGCAGUUUGUCAAGGAAUUAAAAAAGUUCAAAUGGAGGAAGGUCUAAGGUUGGCUAAUUCCCUCUCAUCUCAGCAUAUCAAUUAUAAAAAUAGAAUUAUGAAUGUCAGAUUAGCUACUCGAACAAUUAGUAAUGGGGUAGCAGAUGCUAUGGAAUUUCUUGAUAACAAAUAAAUCUGUUCCGGAGAGAGUUUAAAGCUCCAAUUAGAUCUUCUUCCCUGAAGUAUGUUGAGGAAAUUUUCAGUGAAACUAUAGAAUAUUUAGAAUCAUUGGAAAUUGAUGAUACCAACAUUCUUGGGGAUCCUCUACUAUUCGUCAGAAAAUGACUAAAUUAAUUUUAUUUAAUAAUUG